UACGUAGGUGGCAAGCGUUGUCCGGAUUUACUGGGCGUAAAGAGCGCGCAGGCGGUCGGAUAAGUCGAAUGUGAAAGCCCCCGGCUCAACUGGGGAGGGUCAUUCGAUACUGUUCGACUCGAAGGCAGGAGAGGGAAGUGGAAUUCCCGGUGUAGCGGUGAAAUGCGCAGAUAUCGGGAGGAACACCGGUGGCGAAGGCGGUUCUCUGGGCCUUACCUGACGCUGAGGAGCGAAAGCGUGGGGAGCGAACAGG
rnacentral:rRNA from 1 species